CAGGCCUAACACAUGCAAGUCGAACGAAGGCUUCGGCCUUAGUGGCGCACGGGUGCGUAACGCGUGGGAAUCUACCCAAAGGUACGGAAUAACUCUCCGAAAGGAGUGCUAAUACCGUAUGAUGUCGCAAGACCAAAGAUUUAUCGCCUUUGGAUGAGCCCGCGUAGGAUUAGCUUGUUGGUGGGGUAAAAGCCUACCAAGGCGACGAUCCUUAGCUGGUCUGAGAGGAUGAUCAGCCACACUGGGACUGAGACACGGCCCAGACUCCUACGGGAGGCAGCAGUGGGGAAUAUUGGACAAUGGGCGAAAGCCUGAUCCAGCAAUGCCGCGUGAGUGAUGAAGGCCUUAGGGUUGUAAAGCUCUUUUACNCCGGGAAGAUAAUGACUGUAUCGGGAGAAGCGCCCACGUCCAUCAUGGUGCCCGCAGCC
rnacentral:rRNA from 1 species